AAACCUACCGGUCAAUACCCGGUAGCUUGACAUUACCUUUAGAAGAAGCACCGGCUAACUCCGUGCCAGCAGCCGCGGUAAUACGGAGGGUGCAAGCGUUAAUCGGAAUUACUGGGCGUAAAGCGUGCGUAGGCGGUUCGUUAAGUCAGAUGUGAAAGCCCCGGGCUCAACCUGGGAACUGCAUUUGAAACUGGCGAACUAGAGUUUAGUAGAGGGGAGUGGAAUUUCACGUGUAGCGGUGAAAUGCGUAGAUAUCUGAAGGAACACCAGUGGCGAAGGCGACUCCCUGGACUAAAACUGACGCUGAGGUACGAAAGCGUGGGUAGCAAACAGGAUUAGAUACCCUGGUAGUCCACGCCGUAAACGAUGUCAACUAG
rnacentral:rRNA from 1 species